GAUGAACGCUGGCGGCGUGCCUAAUACAUGCAAGUCGAGCGAACGGACGAGAAGCUUGCUUUUCUGAUGUUAGCGGCGGACGGGUGAGUAACACGUGUAUAACCUACCUAUAAGACUGGGAUAACUUCGGGAAACCGGAGCUAAUACCGGAUAAUCUUUUGAACCGCAUGGUUCAAAAGUGAAAGACGGUCUUGCUGUCACUUAUAGAUGCAUCCGCGCUGCAUUAGCUAGUUGGUAAGGUAACGGCUUACCAAGGCAACGAUGCAUAGCCGACCUGAGAGAGUGAUCGGCGACACUGGAACGGAGACACGGUCCAGACGACUACGGGAGGCAGCAGUAGGGAAUGUGCCGCAGUGGGCGAGAGCAUGACGGAGCGACGCCGCGUGAGAGAUGAAGGUCUUCGGAUCGUAAAAAUCUGUUAUUAGGGAAGAACAGAUGUGUAAGUAGAUGUGCACAUCUUGACGGUAACUAAUCAGAAAGCAACGGCUAACUACGUG
rnacentral:rRNA from 1 species